rnacentral:misc_RNA from 1 species
AACGAGGCCGACCUGCGGCUGAGUUACCUGCGGAGGGAUCAUUAUAGAGUUUUCUAAACUCCCAAACCCAUGUGAACUUACCAUUGUUGCCUCGGCAGAACCUACCCGGUACCUACCCUGGAACUAGCUACCCUGUAGCUACCCAGGAACGGGCUACCCUGUAACGUCCUGCCGGUGGACUUCUAAACUCUUGUUAUUUAUAGUAAUCUGAGCGUCUUAUUUUAAUAAGUCAAAACUUUU